rnacentral:misc_RNA from 1 species
GCUGGUUGAUUCGCAAUCGGACUCUGCUUUCUUUCUCCAAAUCUGGCGUUUCCAGGUACUGCCAUUUUUGCUUGUAAGUUUAGGGUCGCACUUUUUGUUUUUUCUUUCUUCUUCUUUUUUUAAUCCCUAACCACCAAAUCACAUAAACCCAUGUCCAGCUCUUCAUUCACUCGAUUUUUCUCGCAAUCUAUAACACCCAAAAUCCCCAAAAUCUCUGCUUCACACUUCGCCACUUCCUUGGCAGAUAAACUUUACACUCUUUUGCAAAAGAAUCCUGAAAAUGCUGAGAGAGCUCUGAAUUCAAUCAAAGCUAAAUUGGACACCGCGUGCGUCAAUGAGGUCUUAAACAAAUGCUCCUUUAACAAUUCUCAAAUUGGUCUUCGCUUUUUUAUCUGGGCUGGUUGCCAUUCAAAUUAUAGGCAUAGUUCUUUUAUGUAUGGUAAAGCUUGUCAAUUGUUUAAGAUUGAGCAAAACCCGCGAGUUAUUCUGGAUUUAUUCGAG